UUUCCUACGGGGGGCAGCAGUGGGGAAUAUUGGGCAAUGGGCGCAAGCCUGACCCAGCAACGCCGCGUGAAGGAAGAAGGCUUUCGGGUUGUAAACUUCUUUUAUGAGGGACGAAAGAAAUGACGGUACCUCAUGAAUAAGCCACGGCUAACUACGUGCCAGCAGCCGCGGUAAUACGUAGGUGGCAAGCGUUGUCCGGAUUUACUGGGUGUAAAGGGAGCGCAGGCGGGAAG
rnacentral:rRNA from 1 species